AAUUAGACGCGCUGCCCGCUUCUCUUGCUAUUUUGACGCGUGCGUGCUUGGCAUAAGCAUGUUCUCUGUGGAGUUACCUUGAUCUUACUACAGCUUCCUCUGUUGUCGUCUGUGACUUGCUCCUCUAUUUUCUUCGUCUAUUCUGUAUCCUGUAUACCUGUGCCUUAUCUCCAAUUCUUGCUAUAAAUUCCCAACUUGAUUUGUUCUACCCACAACACACUCAGUUUCUUGGAGUUUCCUGCCUUAUCCUUAAAAGGGUAAGUUUCAUAUAUGAUUGCUUAUUUUAUUUUAUUUUAUUUUUGGCUUACAUUAUAUCACCUGGGUGUUUUUUGUUUUUAUAAAAGUUGAUCCUUUUUGCUACAUGCCAUAAUCGUUUUUACUGAUACAAUUAUGGGAUACGGGAAUGCUUAAUUCUUGUAGAAAUUAGAUCUAAAAGUGUUAUUGUAAUGAUUGGAGUUUUCAAGAAUAACUCGGUGGCAGUAAUAGUGGACCAGGGGUUAGAAGGAAGGGUUGAUAAAGAAACAGAUACCAUAGACACACAGAAAUGGUGUUCAAUAAGCAGAUUUACAUAAGAUAGGUAAUAGAGGUCCUAAUCCUACAUUUUUGUUAGUCUACCUAAUCAAAGGCACUUAACUGUUCUAUUAGACAAUAAUGCAUCAUGGCAAUGCAACUGGCCGUAGACCAAUUCCACGAUUCAAUUAGAUUAUAUUUGAAGACAGACAAACCAAAACUUUAUCAGCAUCCCACUUAACGAUAACUAGAAAGCAUGUAAUUCACUCUACUAUGAAAAUUGAUGAGGAUCUCAAAUAACAAGAGAUUUUGGCAGUUGGCACAAAUUGUUAAUUUAGAUAGUACUCAACAAAAUGACAGAGAACUUAGUUUAUUAGAUUUAAUUAUCUUCCUCUUUUUACUGUUUUAGUAGAAGCUAGGACAUCAUUUUGAUUGAUUGUGAUCAUCGAAUAAGUUUUUGUAUACCUGCUCUAUGCUUCUCCGUAGAGUUUUAUUUCUUCCUACUCAAUAAAAUAAAAUAAGUUCCUGCAAGUGUUUUCGUAUUAGAAAGAUUGAUUUUUGAAGAUUUUUCGAGUACCACAUGACCCCUGGAGUCACACAAUUGUAUUCAUAAAUAUACUUUUCUAUAUUUAGCUUAUACAAUUGUUUUCCUUUGAGUAUUAGACAGAGAAUACUUUCUUUAUUAAGUUUAAGUCAAUAGUUAUUACAAGCUCUCCGAAUACUUUCUUGCAUUAAGUUAAACAAUUCUUAGCUAACCACACGUAAUUUAUCAUAAUUCAUUUUACUUUGUUAAUUUGAGAGCUUAAAUUCCUUUAAAGAUAUUUGUUGUGUAAAUAUUACAUGUUCGGUGUUUUAUAAUAGUAUUCUUUAUAAUCAUACGUGCUUACAACAGAAUAAAUAAAGUGAAAUAGUUGUGCUAUUUUUGCUCAUUAUAUUUAAUUGUUGUUUCUUGAGUAUCUCUUGCUAUUUGAUUAAAAAAACAUAAUUCUAUUGUUGUAAAAUGACCUCAGGACAGCUGGAGCUCCAAUAGUUGCAAAAAAUUUCAGAUUAACGGAUAUUCGACAAUAAAACAAAGGGGCCCUCGCUCGGUAAUGGAAGCUCAUGAUAAGGAUACAAACACCUUAAAAUAGAUGACUCUUUAGGAAUGACCUUGAAAGAAGAAAAUUUAUUGCAACGACGCCUAAAACUUCGUUCGCGAAGCAACAACUAAUCGCCUUGUGAAAAAUAUAAAUCAUGUCAAUCACGUUGGAACAACUUCUCAUGUAGAUGAUAUGUUAAUAUUCGACUGUCUUGUUCUUCAUCAGAAAUAGGCAACAAUAUUGCUCUUCAGUUAUAUUGGUAUCACAUAGUCAUCAUACUUGAUUUAAUAGUGUUGAAACUAAUAGCAUAAUUAUGUUAUGUUAAUUCUGAAGGUCUUGUACGACUAUGAACACAAAAUCAAUCAGGCAGUCUCUCCUGGACUUCAAGGUGGUCCUCACAAUCAUACCAUUACUGGCUUGACAGUUGCCUUGAAAUAAGUAUCAUAUCUUUACAAGAGCAAUUUUUGACCCUUUUUUCAAUUGUAUGAAUACUGGCUAAGUUAAGGGUCUUCUUACCCAUCAUUUAGGGAUAUAAAAUAUCUUUGCGUCUUAGAUGGUUAAGUAAGCUUUUUGGGAUUUAAGAACUGAAGGGUUUUGACCUUAGGUCAGGAAAUGAUUAUGUAAAACAAACAAAUAUAGAGUACUAACUUUCUCGGAAUUUUACUAUGACCUCCAGCAGAUAGCACUUUUGAUGUCUUAUUAAAUCCUAUUUUUCCCCCUCUGAGUGUGUGAAACAUAUGGAUUAUAUAAAGCAGUCAACCGAUGACUGCAAACCAAAGCUAGAAAAGGUUUUAAAAGAUCAAGAUAUCUUUGUGAUGCUGCUGACCACAACUAAGGUGAAUUAUUAGUCAGAUGACAAUCUCAAUGCUGGACUUGGGUCACCAACUCCUUAUUAGGAACUACACUUUUCUUUAUGAAUCUUGAGAACCAAAGGGUUAUCAAGGUUUGACAAUUCUUCUUGAAUUACUAAUAUGAAGAUGAGUAUUUUAUUUAGCUUGGUCUUGAGUAUUUUAUUUUAGCUCGAGCAAUUUAUAUGGUCUUGAGUAUUUUAUUUUAGCUUGAGCAAUUCAUAGCUAAAAUAAAAUACUCAAGACAAACUACUGUUUCUUAUUACUAUAUUUAACGUAUAAAAUAUCGGAGUACCAUAAUAUAUAAUUAAGGUAGCCAUAUUUUGAGACGGUAGAACUUUAGUCAUAUCUAAUUUGUCUCCUUGCUCAUCAAUACAUUUUUUUUUUCACUUCUGCACUUUUAUCAGUGCAAGCGAUUGUAUUUUGUAUUUUACACAAUCGACACCUCUAAAAAAACUAAUGGUUUUCAUUGUACUCUCUCAGGACCCUGUUAUGCAUUCAUUGGACAUCACAUAGAUACACAACCACUGGUUCAUCCAAAUGACAUGAGAAAAGCAUAAGAAUGAACAAGUUGAUGGGAGAAAUUGGCGUCUUCUUAGAGUCUCUGGAAACCUUUUAGCUUCCUCACAUUUUAAUGGAAUGCUAACCACAUGCGACCUGGUUCUCGACCUUCAUAUGAAUUUUAUACGAGUCUUUCUAACUGCUGCAAAAUUUUCUUUUCUCGGAUUUUUUUAGCUCAUUUAGUGCUAUAAGAGUACUUUUGAGAUUUUUACUAAAAUUUUAUUGUUGCAACAGUUUAUUUGUAUCAUCAGGUGUUACUGCAAAGCCAUAUGAUUUUUGGGUAACAUAUGGAUUACAGAGAGCAGGAUUAAAAAGAAUAAGAUUUCUGUUGCAAUUGUGUAGUCUUCUAUUUCUUUUCUGACUAAC
rnacentral:lncRNA from 1 species